rnacentral:tmRNA from 1 species
GGGGUUGACCGGUUUUGACAGCUUGUAGAAUGGUCAUGUAAGCAUGCUGAGCCUCGCAGUGACGCUCAUAAAUCUUGACUGCAAAAAAUUAAUUGGCGAAAAUACUUACGCUCUCGCUGCUUGAUCGAAGAACAGUAGAUCGAAGCUUCAUUCAUUUACAAGGUAGAUGAACGAGACAUCUCGCGAAUGGACAUUCCUGAUUCCGGUUCGGAUUCGAGGUGCUCAUAAUUUCAGGAUAGCGAUGCGGAAGCUCCGUACGCAUAGCGAAACUUAGGAGAUAAGGUCAUGUUUAGGGUGUUUGUUUCCUUGCAUGACUCGAAAAUUAACAACAAAAUAAGCAUGUAGAAAGCAUGGGUGUUCCUUGUUUGGACGAGGGUUCGACUCCCUCCAGCUCCACUU